AUAACAGUGCGUCGGGGAAGGCGAACAUCACUUCGGACGAGCUGUUGGCCUGCGUGUGGUGUCAGGAGCUCCGUUCUUUAUUUUCACCUAUGGAGCCCGCGCAGGUGACCAAUGAUGGUAGCGUUCAUUCUCGCAGCUUGGUGGAGACCGGGCUUGAAACGGCACCUCGGUCCGUGCACCAGUCGGUGAAGGAGAGAAGCGACUUCGCAGUAGACGAAACGUUCACACCGUGGAAGAAAGUGCAACUUGAGUUCAGCGUGGUUCGUCUAAGUUAUGGAAGGUUUGUCCUACAGCUACGUCAGUCCGCGCUGCCGUCAACAGAGGCCAUCAACAUCAUGAUGUCCGCGGCGUGCAAGCGCCCUUGCCACGCGGCUGGGCUUGUCCGGGGAGCUGGAAAGUAAGCGCGGAAGUUGGUACAUGGAUUGGGUCAAGUGAAGGUAGUGCUCCAUGCUUGCCUUCCUCUGAUGCCUCUGAUGGUCUCUGAGACUCGGAACUGGACGCGUUCUUCAGAAACCAUGGCCCUGAUUCCACCUUGAAUCCCACAGUGGGGCCAGCUGAGGAUUUCAGAGAGCCACACAGGCAGACAAGCAUGUAGUACCAAUUUUGCUUCGUCAACCAGACACCAAAUGCCACGACUGCUUUCCAGCUCCCUGCUCCGGAUCGUGCCACGGGUGCUCGCCCGGAGCAGCCAUCACGAUGGAUAUGCCCGAGCGUCUGAAAGCCUACCUGCCGGUGUUAAGGCACAGUACAAUGUUUUGUUCUGGAAUAAGCACUGCAUCAUUAUUCUUGACGGAGAAUAUCCGCCGCCAGGAGUGACGACAGAAUGCUAUUUCUGGACCAUUGAAGAACAGCUUGGAAAGAGCAAUUAUGAUUGCGAGUUUAUUUGGAGUAACUAUUGUCAUUUUCCUACUGAGGUGCCAUUUGGUAAGCCCGAGUGUAAGUAGCUGUAUGAUGUGUCAAUAAAUGCGAGACAGCAGCUGCGCA